rnacentral:rRNA from 1 species
CAAAGAUUAAGCCAUGCAUGUCUAAGUAUAAGCAAGUCUAUACAGUGAAACUGCGAAUGGCUCAUUAUAUCAGUUAUAGUUUAUUUGACUGUACCCCUUACUACUUGGAUAACCGUGGUAAUUCUAGAGCUAAUACAUGCGUCAAUGCCCAACUUUUUGGAAGGGCAGCAUUUAUUAGGUAUAAAACCAGACCGCCCUUGGGCGGAUUCCGGUGAAUCAUAAUAACUGAGCGAAGGUGCCUGUAUAGGGACGCUGGGUCAUUCAAAUUUCUGCCCUAUCAACUGUCGAUGGUACGGUAGUGGCCUACCAUGGUGACAACGGGUAACGGGGAAUCAGGGUUUGAUUCCGGAGAGGGAGCCUGAGAAACGGCUACCACUUCUAAGGAAGGCAGCAGGCGCGCAAAUUACCCAAUGCCGAUACGGUGAGGUAGUGACAAUAAAUAACAACCCAGGGCCCUUGUGGUCUUGGGAUUGCAAUGAGUACAAUUUAACACCUUAACGAGGAACAAUUAGAGGGCAAGUCUGGUGCCAGCAGCCGCGGUAAUUCCAGCUCUAAUAGUGUAUAUUAAAGUUGCUGCAGUUAAAAAGCCCGUAGUCGGAGUGUGGGGUUGGUUGGGCAGUUGGCCGGGGCCUUUUGGUUCCGUGCCAUGUAAUGCCUACCCCCCAAAUCAUUCCUGGCUUGGCCAGCCUGCCCUUUACUGGGUGGGCUGGAGUUUCCGGCCAGGACUUUUACCUUGAAAAAAUUAAGUGUUCAAAGCAGGCAUCUGGCUUGAAUAGAUUAGCAUGGAAUAAUAGAAUAGGACUUGGGUCUUGUUUUGUUGGUUUUACGGGGCCCGGGUAAUGAUUAAUAGGAACAGUUGGGGGCAUUUGAAUUGAGUGGUUAGAGGUGAAAUUCUUGGAUCCACUCAAGUCAAACUACUGCGAAAGCAUUUGCCCAGCAUGUGUCCAUUGAUCAAGGACGAAAGUCAGGGGAUCGAAGACGAUUAGAUACCGUCGUAGUCUUGACCAUAAACUAUGCCGACUGGGGAUGGGCUCCCACAAUUUGGGGUGGUCCGGACUCUAUGGAGAAAUCAAAGUGUUUGGGUUCCGGGGGGAGUAUGGUCGCAAGGCUGAAACUUAAAGGAAUUGACGGAAGAGCACCACCAGGAAUGGAGCCUGCGGCUUAAUUUGACUCAACACGGGGAAACUCACCAGGUCCAGACAUAGUGAGGAUUGACAGAUUGAUAGCUCUUUCUUGAUUCUAUGGGUGGUGGUGCUGGCCGUUCUUAGUUCGUGGAUUCAUUUGUCUGGUUAAUUCCGAUAACGAACGAGACCUUAACCUGCUAAAUAGACCGGCUUGCUCUUUGAGCAGGCUUGGGACUUCUUAGAGGGACUGCUGGCGAAAAGCCAGCGGAAGUUUGAGGCAAUAACAGGUCUGUGAUGCCCUUAGAUGUUCUGGGCCGCACGCGCGCUACACUGAUGAGGUCAGCGAGUUAGGGCUUCUGCCCGCUUCCUUGCCUGACAAGGCUGGUAAUCACUAAACCUCAUCGUGCUGGGGAUAGUCCUUUGCAAUUUUCGGACUUGAACGAGGAAUUCCUAGUAAUCGCAAGUCAUCAGCUUGCGAUGAUUACGUCCCUGCUCUUUGUACACACCGCCCGUCGCUACUACCGAUUGAAUGGCUUAGUGAGUCCUCCGGAUUUGCUGGACACGCCCUCACCGGCUGUCCGGCGAAGAAAGCUGGGCAAACUUGGUCAUUUAGAGGAAGUAAAAGUCGUAACA